rnacentral:tRNA from 1 species
UGCCGCUUAGCUCAGACAGGAAGAGCAGCCGGUCGAUAACCGGCAGGUCGUUGGUGCGAAACCAACAGCGACAA